rnacentral:rRNA from 1 species
UACGAAGGGGGCUAGCGUUGUUCGGAAUUACUGGGCGUAAAGCGCACGUAGGCGGACUAUUAAGUCAGGGGUGAAAUCCCGGGGCUCAACCCCGGAACUGCCUUUGAUACUGCUAGUCUCGAGUCCGGAAGAGGUGAGUGGAAUUCCGAGUGUAGAGGUGAAAUUCGUAGAUAUCAGGAGGAAUACCGAUGGCGAAGGCAGGUCUCUGGGUCGAUACUGACGCUCAUGCACGAAAGCGUGGGGAGCAAACAGG